CACGUAGGGGGCGAGCGUUGUCCGGAUUUAUUGGGCGUAAAGAGCUCGUAGGCGGCUCAGUAAGUCAGGUGUGAAAACUCCAGGCUCAACCUGGAGACGCCACCUGAUACUGCUGUGGCUAGAGUCCGGUAGGGGAGCAUGGAAUUCCUGGUGUAGCGGUGAAAUGCGCAGAUAUCAGGAAGAACACCAGUGGCGAAGGCGGCUCACUGGUCCGGUACUGACGCUGGAGGUGCGAAAGCGUGGGGAGCAAACAGG
rnacentral:rRNA from 1 species